UUCCACAACAAAGAAAUUUUGGAUCAGAAGGUAGUUUCUUCAUACUGCUGAUAUAAAUAAUGGUUUAAUUAUCUUUUUGAGUGAUGUAAGGGAGAUAAUAUGCUACUUCCGGUCUCAUAUGAUAGCUUCUUUCACACUGAUUCCAAAAAUAUAUAGUUUCUAUGUACUUUUGCAUGUAGAAUGGGAGAUAAUUGGUUACUUCCGGUUUGUUGGAAGUCAUUUUUAUUCUUCAGUAAUCAGUUUAUGUAUCUAUAUGACAAAAUAUAUGGAUUCUGAGUACUUGUAUGUGAAAAAACUGCAAAAAAAGCUACUUCCGGUUUUCUCAAGGUCACUUCCGGUAACCAUUUUUCAAGGUCAUUUGUCACUUAACCUUUUGUAUAAGGUCAAAUGUCUUUGUAAUGAACUUAGUUGAAGAUAUAAUCAAAUAACCUCAUAUCAAGACAUUUCAGGGGCAACAACUCCUAUAAGAUGCCAUUAAAUUGUAUCAAACUUAAUGUAUCAUAUCUUCAUAACAAUAAAGCAGACAUUUUGCAAUUGUUUUUCUUUAUGUAUCUUUCAAAGCGUCAGAGAAAAUGCAAAAACAAGCAGAAGUCACAAAUUAGAACUUGACCUUGACCUUUGACCUUGACCUCAUUUUCUAAGUUAGGACAUAGGGGACUCAAAUAAAAACAUUCCAGGGUUAUACGGUUAACUGUUAUUGAGUUAAAAAAACAUAACGACAAAUUUAUUUUGUAAAGGUAGAUAACUCCUAUAAAAUUUCAUCGAAUCGCUUCGACCCAAAUGAGCCAAAAAUUACUGAGGAUGUAACGAACAAUUUGUAAAAAGAAUUUUGUCGCUAUCUUUUUUUGUUACGAAGGAGAUGCACACAGAUGAUAAACAGUGAAUAGGGAGAUAACUCUUACAAAGAAAAUGGUUCGGCUUAGCAGGGUGAAAUUUAAAAGCGCAUAAACUAUACGAUAUCAUAUGAGAAAUAUCUAAGCGACAUAUUGCGAAACAAACAUUUAUCGCAAGAACAAAAUUUGGCGGAAAAAAAAAAAUAAUAAUAAAUAUAAAUCAAUUGCUUUGAAAAAGCAAUUGUAGGUGGUCUUUCCCCCUUUAAAUUAAUUGAAUUUGGGGGGUGUUGUUUGUUUGUUUGUUUGUUUGUUUGUUUGUUUGUUUGUUUGUUUGUUUCUGUAUGGGGUCUAUAUUAUUGUUACCGGAGAAGUUUCAUGUUUAGUUUGGAAAGUUUUUUUUUUAUUUUAGGUACAGCGCGCGCGCCAGAUUGAGGAGACAUC
rnacentral:lncRNA from 1 species